GUGCUCGUUUUGGCAGCACAUACACUAAACUUGGCAUGAUACAGAGAAGACUAGCAU
ensembl:snRNA U6 U6 spliceosomal RNA